GCAAUAUUUAUGAUUGAAUUAAUGAUUAAUUAUAUUAGAGCAUCAAAUUAAAGUGAUGAAGACUAAUGUAAUUGUGGGUGAGUUGAUAAGCCUGCAAUGAAUUAAGAAAGCCAUUGAUCAAGAUGAGUACCCACAAAUCAUGGUAACUCUGUCCUUCCUCUCAAUGAGCAUUUAGAUUUUAGAGAAUGAAAUGACAACAACAUCACAUGCUAUUAAUUUUUUUAAAUUAAAUCAUUGAUGAUGAUGCGAUUUUAUUGAUUGUUUCUUCUUGUUAAGUUUCCUUCCUUGACUUGAAGCCUAUCAAGCUGAGCAUUGAGGAGCAACCUUGGUGGCUAUGACACAUUAUGUUUCUUCUUAUUAGUUGAAGGAUCUACUACUACAAAACUUGAGAAAUCUGCUGGCAAGUUGAGAAGUCUUUGAAAAGGAGGAGGAAGAAUCAAUAUAGGGGAAUUCGCCAAUGUCCAUAUGUAACAAUUAAGAAAAGCUUCAUUGUCAACAGAUGAUGCAUUUGCCUUUUUGAAAGGCGAAGUUGAUUGGUGUGCCUCGUAGAUUAUGCUUCCAAGGGUUAAAGGAUCUCUAGGCUGAAGCAGUGCUCUUCCCCCAUAAAGGGAAGAAAAGAUUGUGGCCAGAUGACUAUUCUCUUCAGUAUAUGGCGUUUUGUUAACCAUUUAUUCGGUUUAUUUGGUUUGACUGUACUAUGUACUUGAUUGUAUUUAAUAUUAUAUAAAGCUGGUUGUAUAUAAUAGUAGCUUCUUGAGUGAGAGGUUAAUAUUUAAUGUUUUUUUUGGGAAAAAAAGCCACCUACGGCUCUUGUUAUAACCAUAACAGAAGCCAUAAGUGGGUACCUAUGGCUUUAGUUGCUUUUGAAAUAGUCAUCAUAAGUGCUAAAACAUACGGCUUCUGUUCUUUCAUAAUAGAAGCCCUCUGAUAUGUUUUGCUACUAUUGUUUCCACUACAUUGUAUAUACAGUAGCAAAAAGCUAUUUUCAAUAGAA